rnacentral:lncRNA from 1 species
GGGAGCCUCCACCCAGGCGCAUGGCUCCAUGAAGCAAGAGGAGGAGGCAGAGCGCGAGAGAUCCCGUCCGCCCCAGCCGCGUCUGGGCCAGGAGAAAAGCAAAACCAUAUUCCUGCUGCUGUCAGUUUUGAUGCACUGAGAAAACUUCAGAGACCUAAGCUUUUUCCAGAGAAGAGAAGCUUUACUGGUGUUCCAGCCCUAAGAAACUUAAAUCCUCAGUGUGACACAACUCAGUCCUUCUACUGCAGCAGCUCUUUUAUAAAAGCCUCCCAAAGCUCCAAGAAGGAACAAAGAAUGUGACCCAGUAAGCUCACACCAUAAGUCUAUAUUGCAGAAACCUUUGUUCAACAAAACUGCAGAUGCUCUGUUGAAUCCACUGGAGAUUGUCCUGAUACUAAGGACAAGUAUGCUCAUAUGACAUUAACAGACAAGACACUUUUCAGAAAGACAGGCAACGUGUUGGACCUUCCGGAGCUUCUCAGAAGACAGAGGGUUUUCUUUUGAGACAAAUCAACUCAAUCAAAGAAACCAACUCAAAGAAAGAUGGGUCUACAUACAACAAAACUGAACAAAAUCUGCAAGAAGAGUGAUUCAUACAUGGGCUAUUGAGGCAACAUGAGAUGGACAUUAAUCGACUAAGUAAAAAACAGAUUUCUUGAAGAAUUAAUAAAGAACUUUUGUUUUGGAAGUU